AUUGAACGCUGGCGGCAUGCCUUACACAUGCAAGUCGAACGGCAGCACGGGAGCAAUCCUGGUGGCGAGUGGCGAACGGGUGAGUAAAGUAUCGGAACGUGCCCAGUCGUGGGGGAUAACGUAGCGAAAGUUACGCUAAUACCGCAUACGAUCUAUGGAUGAAAGCGGGGGAUCGCAAGACCUCGCGCGAUUGGAGCGGCCGAUAUCAGAUUAGGUAGUUGGUGGGGUAAAGGCUCACAAAGCCGACGAUCUGUAGCUGGUCUGAGAGGACGGCCAGCCCCACGGGGAGUGGGACAAGGCCCAGACUCAUACGGGAGGCAGCAGUGGGGAAUUUGGGACAAUGGGCGAAAGCCUGAUCCAGCCAUGCCGCGUGCAGGAUGAAGGCCUUCGGGUUGUAAACUGCUUUUGUACGGAACGAAAAGGUUUGGCCUAAUAAGCUGAGCUCAUGACGGUACCGUAAGAAUAAGCACCGGCUAACUACGUGCCAGCCGCCGCAGUAA
rnacentral:rRNA from 1 species